AUAGACAGAUUAUGGUGUGUGAGUGUUGUUUAGAACAGAGAGUGGUCGGAUUGAAAGAGAACAGAGUGAAGAGAGUAAGUGAGAAUUAAAGAGACUGCAAUGGAGCAAAAGAGAGAUUAAGUGAGAUUUGAGAGAGUAUGAGAGAGAUUCUUGUAACCAGAGAUUAGGGAGAGUAUAAGAGACUUGAGAAUGGUGAAGAAGAAAGGGGAAACUCCCCCAUUCAGCUUAAUUUCGUAAUGGUUACAAUGGGGUGGCUUUAUAGCCAGAUUACAAGUUGCAAGUGAUUAAACAAUUGUUAAAGUACAGAUUUACUAAACUAAUAUUAUUGUAGGGUUUCUGAUGGAGCCAGGAGGAUGCAGCCAAGGAGAAUCUCGACCAGAGGGAGUAGAGAGUGACAGGAGAGAGAGAUGGGCACAGUCUGGUUGGGUGAAAGUGACAGCAGAAAGCUCAGCUGGACGAGUUCCCCACUUGCCUUGACUUCCAAGACACUCUAGGUUAGGUUUGGUUACUUGCAAGCCAAAACUGUACGGACAGAUUCAAAUCUGCUUGUUCCGGAUUUGCUUGCUCUUGAAGCUUGGUCUCUUCAUCAACUCCAGCUUCUUACUUCUUCAUUCCAACACUCCCCCUCAAGCUUGACCAUAGGAGAUCCUUGGACAAGCUUGGAACCUUGAAGAAGCUCCCUCAUUAAAAACCUUAGCAAGAAAACCCAUUGGGACAAAACUUGCUAAGGGAAAAAGAGUGGAGUUUCCACAAAGCUUAGGGAUUGGCCAGUGAGCCUAAGGAACUUCAGAUUCAUCAUGGUGGAGUCCUUAGGCUCUGGAUCGUGGCCUAAUAGGUAUAGCAAGUAUGAAUCACCAUAACUUGCUAUCCUUGAGCACAAGUAGCCGGCUGGAUCAUUUUGUGGCCGGUUUAGGGUCUCCCCCUCUCAACUGGCUUCAAGCCACCUUAGGAAGGCAAGGAAACGACCAGACCAUCUUCUCUGAACCCCCAGCAAAGUUACUUGUUCUUUAGAACUUGGCUUGACCUCUUCAUGGAACCAUAGACUCGGUUAGGGUCUCCCCCUCUCAACUGACUUCUUUGGCCAUCUUAGAAAGGCUAGGACAUGACCGGAUCAUCAUCAUCAUCUUCAGUGAGGCUCAAGCUUAUUUUGGUACCUGAUACAUCAUUUCAAAAGUGCAUCAGUUCUUAAGGAAAUGCACUCAUCACAUCAAACUCAAUAAUAGUUUAAGUAUAAGGACAAUCAUGAAUGUAUUGAGAUGAGUUUAAGGUGCUUCCCUUUUAUAAGAAUGGUCAGGAGUGGACUCCAAUUGAAUCCCCACUUGGUAAGACACAGUCCGGAUUAUGGAAGCUCAAUCACACACUUGGAACUGAGCUUCUUUGAUCCGGUUGGUACUGAGUAAUGCACGAGUGAAUCCACCACUUGCAAACUCCACUUUUGAUCAGAGGUGAGGCAAUGAACGACUUGGAUUGGCGCCAGUUGCUUCACCGUCAAAUCACCUUUGAGCUUCUUCUUAUGACCUGAGCUUGUCUCCCCCUUUCUUCUGGCUUCUUGCCUCCAUUUAGGAGUUGAGACAAAGCUUUUCUUUGUUCAUGAGCUCAAUAGGUACCUGAUUCAAUCAUCCAAAAAAUGCAUGUAUCAAUUCUCAAGGGGCAAACCUAUUCACACAUAAGAAUAAUAAUGGUUUUAGGUACUUCCCUUGCAUCAGUUUGUUGAAUGUUGGUGAGGAUUACUAAGCACUUGAAUCCUCCACGCCAUUCCUUCUCUCAACCAGCCUUUGCAUUGUUCUCUUGAAGUUUCAACAUGUAGGGGGACUUUGCAACUCCAUAAUUUGCCACCAUCAUGUGAUUGCUUAGCCAAGAAUGUCCCUGAUUGAAUAAUCCUUGCAUCUGGCUGGUAAGAACAGUGAGGAGUGACAGCUUCUUCAGUUUGAUCACUUAAGUCCUCUUUUAAUUCGCCAACCUCUUGCUGGUCUUCUAUGAGGAAAUGGGACACUGGAUACAGUAAGCUUCAUGGAUCUUUUGGUAGCUCACUGAUAUUCCCCUCCUCAAGCUUGACUGAGUAUAGUGACAAGCUUGAACGUGAGCUUCAACGAGUUUUGAACUGGGAGCACAACAAUACCAACAUCUGCGCUUAAGCCAACCAGUUUACCAUCUUCCAGGAGCACAACAAUACCAACAUCUGCGCUUAAGCCAACUGGAUCACCAUUUGCCUUCAGCUCCAAUGUCUUUGGACCACCAGUCUCCUCAUGACUUAGGUGAUGGCCUUCCUUGUGAGUCUCUUGAACCAGGAGCACAACAGCUCCUACGCCUGCGCUUAAGCCAACUGAUUCCACUCACAAGGUAUCUUUACAUGGUCAGGACUAAACACCUUGAUCCAUGCCUCUGACCACCGGCCACUCUUGGCUUAGUGAUGGCCUUUUCUCUUGAGUGCACCUCCUGUACAUCCUCUUGGCAUAAGGUAAGUCACUUCUGAGCAGUUUCUCCAAUUCUCCAACAUCCUUUCUAUCUUCAGGGUAGGAAAUGGGCAGACACAUAGAUAGGAUUUGGGACUGGGCAAUCUCCACGGUUCAGGAAUAUCCAUCUUGGGAGGCUCUGAAAAACGUGGGCAAUGCCUUCUUCUUUGUCUUAGUUUGAUGAUGGACAGAGAUCACCUCUUGUGUACCUGAAACAUCACUCAAACUCCAGCAAGAAUCAGACCACACACACUAGGAUCAGCCCUUGAUAAUUCACCAAGUCUGAUCCCAAUGUUUUAAGAGAA